GAGAGAUUUUUCCGGCCACCAGAUGCACAAGUCAUUUACAAGGACAAAACAGGGACAGAAGUCGAUGAAGAAAUACUCAGCGACCUGGUUGGACAAGGCAACGUGAGUUUUCUGAUUGGUCCUUGUCUUCGGCUUCUGAGUCGGACUCAAGCUUCAGCUCAAAUGCAUCGACUGUAAACAUGGAUGAGGUCCCAAGGAAGAGACAACGAUUUGAAGAUGCAAAUGCAGCGUCUGCUAAACAGUUGAUAGACGCUGUGCUUAGAGGCAAGUCCGGUGGUGAAGAGCUGCUACAGGAAGAACAGAAACAUUAACAGAUGCUGCAAGACGGCAAAUGCUGAACAUACUGGUGGCUCACAUGAUUGAUAACCAUGGCACCUCCCCAUUAAAGCGAUCAGAGAAGAGUUUGCUCUUGGUAUCGUGAUGCUGUUCGCUUCCCUCAAGGAUCCACAUUCCAAGAAAGGCUGUGAACACUUCUUUGAUCCUGAAAGCAACACAGGAAACAUUUCUUGGCGUCUGAAAACAGUCCAAAGGCAGAUUGGUCGAGGGUCUGCAACGCCACCAAGUAGCUCCAUUGACUUUUCUCCAGGAGGCCCAACUUUCCAAAGGCUUGUUAAUGUUGAAGGACAGUGUGGAGUAUAAAGCUGGACUUGUUGUGUGCUGUACAAUGGAAGAAGACAUGCCAGUCUUUGGUGAAAUAAGUGAUGUACUUUUGGUUGAAAAAAUUUUCAAAAUUUCGAAAUUCACCACUGGACUUUUUGCUGUGUAAACGGAGGCGUCAUGUUCCAUUGACAACAAAUCCAUAAAGUCUUUACACCAGCUCUCGAUACUAAAGCAGGUGGACUUACCUUCUUUCCAGUUCAACAAAAUAAUUUGUUUGACUGACAGAAAGGCCAGGACGACACUUCUCUGUUUCAUCCCAGAUUUUGCAUUGUUCAGAUUCAAACCCAGUUUACAAGCCAGGGGCAGAGUUUUAUGUCCAGGCCACACGACAAACAUUCAAUAACCUUCACCCAGAACCUCUUCAGAUGCAUAAGUGUUCCCUCCACCUCACAGCCACACCACAGAAUUUAAAUGAUACUGUUCAUUUUAUACAGAGUGUGAGGUGUAAUGUAUGUUCUAUGUAUUAUCUUCAUUUGUAUAAUUUUAUAUCUAACGCACUGACAUUUUUGUACAGCUUGUAAGUACGUCCCAGUGUUUGGAGGAAAUAGGUGCACCCACAUCACGUUCCCAUCGUCGCUCCGUAUGGGAGAACCUGUCAGGAGUAGCAGAACAUAAUAAUUUAUACGUUGCAGAGACUGUACCUUUCCUGACAGCAAUUCCCUUUCAGAUGUUGUCUA